rnacentral:rRNA from 1 species
GACGAAGGGGGCUAGCGUUGUUCGGAAUUACUGGGCGUAAAGCGCGUGUAGGCGGUUAUCCAAGUCGGGUGUGAAAGCCUUGAGCUCAACUCAAGAAAUGCAUUCGGUACUGGGUGACUAGAGGACCGGAGAGGAUAGUGGAAUUCCCAGUGUAGUGGUGAAAUACGUAGAGAUUGGGAAGAACACCAGUGGCGAAGGCGACUCUUUGGCCUGUAACUGACGCUGAGGCGACGAAAGCGUGGGGAGCAAACAGG